GUGGGGAAUAUUGGACAAUGGGCGAAAGCCUGAUCCAGCCAUGUCGCGUGUGUGAAGAAGGUCUUCGGAUUGUAAAGCACUUUAAGUUGGGAGGAAGGGUAGUAACCUAAUACGUUGCUACUUUGACGUUACCGACAGAAUAAGCACCGGCUAACUUCGUGCCAGCAGCCGCGGUAAUACGAAGGGUGCAAGCGUUAAUCGGAAUUACUGGGCGUAAAGCGCGCGUAGGUGGUUCAGUAAGUUGGAAGUGAAAUCCCCGGGCUCAACCUGGGAACUGCUUUCAAAACUGCUGAGCUAGAGUACGGUAGAGGGUGGUGGAAUUUCCUGUGUAGCGGUGAAAUGCGUAGAUAUAGGAAGGAACACCAGUGGCGAAGGCGACCACCUGGACUGAUACUGACACUGAGGUGCGAAAGCGUGGGGAGCAAACAGGAUUAGAUACCCCGGUAGUCC
rnacentral:rRNA from 1 species